GAGUUUGAUCCUGGCUCAGGACGAACGCUGGCGGCGUGCUUAACACAUGCAAGUCGAGCGGAAAGGCCACUUCGGUGGUACUCGAGCGGCGAACGGGUGAGUAACACGUGAGUAAUCUGCCCCUGGCUUUGGGAUAGCCACCGGAAACGGUGAUUAAUACCGGAUACGACAACUUCUCGCAUGGGAUGGUUGUGGAAAGUUUUUCGGCCAGGGAUGUGCUCGCGGCCUAUCAGCUUGAUGGUGAGGUAAUGGCUCACCAUGGCUUCGACGGGUAGCCGGCCUGAGAGGGUGGCCGGCCACACUGGGACUGACACACGGCCCAGACUCCUACGGCAGGCCGCAGUGGGGAAUAUUGGACGAUGGGCGGAAUUCUGAUACAGCAACGCCGCGUGAGGGAUGACGGCCUUCGGGUUGUAAACCUCUUUCGGUGGGGACGAAGCGCAAGUGACGGUACCCACUAAAGAAGCACCGGCCAACUACGUGCCAGCAGCCGCGGUAAUACGUAGGGUGCGAGCGUUGUCCGGAAUUAUUGGGCGUAAAGGGCUCGUAGGCGGUUUGUCGCGUCGGGAGUGAAACCAGGUGCUUAACACUGGCUUGCUUCGAUACGGGCAGACUAGAGGUAUUCAGGGGAGAACGGAAUUCCUGGUGUAGCGGUGAAAUGCGCAGAUAUCAGGAGGAACACCGGUGGCGAAGGCGGUUCUCUGGGAAUGACCUGACGCUGAGGAGCGAAAGUGUGGGGAGCGAACAGGAUUAGAUACCCUGGUAGUCCACACCGUAAACGUUGGGCGCUAGGUGUGGGGUCCAUUCCACGGAUUCCGUGCCGCAGCUAACGCAUUAAGCGCCCCGCCUGGGGAGUACGGCCGCAAGGCUAAAACUCAAAGGAAUUGACGGGGGCCCGCACAAGCGGCGGAGCAUGCGGAUUAAUUCGAUGCAACGCGAAGAACCUUACCUGGGUUUGACAUACACCCUGCCGCUCCAGAGAUGGGGCUUCUUUUGGGGGUGUACAGGUGGUGCAUGGCUGUCGUCAGCUCGUGUCGUGAGAUGUUGGGUUAAGUCCCGCAACGAGCGCAACCCUCGUUCUAUGUUGCCAGCACGUAAUGGUGGGGACUCAUAGGAGACUGCCGGGGUCAACUCGGAGGAAGGUGGGGAUGACGUCAAGUCAUCAUGCCCCUUAUGUCCAGGGCUUCACGCAUGCUACAAUGGCCGGUACAAAGGGCUGCGAUCCCGUAAGGGGGAGCGAAUCCCAAAAAGCCGGUCUCAGUUCGGAUUGGGGUCUGCAACUCGACCCCAUGAAGUCGGAGUCGCUAGUAAUCGCAGAUCAGCAACGCUGCGGUGAAUACGUUCCCGGGCCUUGUACACACCGCCCGUCACGUCACGAAAGUCGGCAACACCCGAAGCCGGUGGCCCAACCCUUGUGGAGGGAGCCGUCGAAGGUGGGGCUGGCGAUUGGGACGAAGUCGUAACAAGGUAGCCGUACCGGAAGGUGCGGCUGGAUCACCUCCUUUCU
rnacentral:rRNA from 1 species